GCGAGCUUAGUGUAGUGGUUAUCACGUCAGUCUUACAAAAGUAUCACUGAAGGUCGGUGGUUCGAUCCCGCCAGCUCGUA
rnacentral:tRNA from 1 species